rnacentral:rRNA from 1 species
GAUGAACGCUGGCGGCGUGCCUAAUACAUGCAAGUCGAACGAAACUUCUUUAUCACCGAGUGCUUGCACUCACCGAUAAAGAGUUGAGUGGCGAACGGGUGAGUAACACGUGGGCAACCUGCCCCAAAGAGGGGGAUAACACUUGGAAACAGGUGCUAAUACCGCAUAACCAUAGUUACCGCAUGGUAACUAUGUAAAAGGUGGCUAUACUACCGCUUUUGGAUGGGCCCGCGGCGCAUUAGCUAGUUGGUAGGGUAAAGGCUUACCAAGGCAAUGAUGCGUAGCCGAAUUGAGAGGUUGAUCGGCCACAUUGGGACUGAGACACGGCCCAAACUCCUACGGGAGGCAGCAGUAGGGAAUCUUCCACAAUGGGCGAAAGCCGGAUGGCGCCACGCCGAGUGGGUGAAGAAGGUCUUCGGAUCGUAAAACCCAGCUGUUAGAGAGUAAAGUGAGUAAGAGUAACUGUUAACGGCUAGACGGUAACUAACCGGAAGGCCACGAUUAACUACGUG